UGGGGAAUUUUGGACAAUGGGGGAAACCCUGAUCCAGCCAUCCCGCGUGUGCGAUGAAGGCCUUCGGGUUGUAAAGCACUUUUGGCAGGAAAGAAACGUCGCGGGUUAAUACCCCGCGAAACUGACGGUACCUGCAGAAUAAGCACCGGCUAACUACGUGCCAGCAGCCGCGGUAAUACGUAGGGUGCAAGCGUUAAUCGGAAUUACUGGGCGUAAAGCGUGCGCAGGCGGUUCGGAAAGAAAGAUGUGAAAUCCCAGAGCUUAACUUUGGAACUGCAUUUUUAACUACCGGGCUAGAGUGUGUCAGAGGGAGGUGGAAUUCCGCGUGUAGCAGUGAAAUGCGUAGAUAUGCGGAGGAACACCGAUGGCGAAGGCAGCCUCCUGGGAUAACACUGACGCUCAUGCACGAAAGCGUGGGGAGCAAACAGGAUUAGAUACCCUGGUAGUCCACGCCCUAAACGAUGUCAACUAGCUGUUGGGGCCUUCGGGCCUUGGUAGCGCAGCUAACGCGUGAAGUUGACCGCCUGGGGAGUACGGUCGCAAGAUUAAAAACUCAAAAGGAAUUGAC
rnacentral:rRNA from 1 species